CUUCCUCCCUCCCUGAUUUGCUUCUGGGAAAACAAGCCUUGAGAGCGGCGGACUCGCCCCGAGUCACGGUGCUUAAGCAGGAGUCCCUGGUAGAAAGACUGAAAAAUCCCUUCCCCGCUCGAUGGUGGAUUCAUAUCCUGUGCGGCCUCUAGGAAGCGCUAGACACAUGCUUGCUUCAGAAAGUCACACAUCUUCCCAUGUCACCUGACAAUACAAGGGACUUCAAGGACAUACAGAAGAACAGAGUCCUUGGUCUCUGAAUGACCCUGUGGAAGGAUACUCACUGGCCAGAAGUAGUCCUUCCAGACUUUGAAUGACAAAUCAACUUCAUUGUGCUGGUCCACUGGGAUUUUGGAGUAAAGAUGGCAAUAUCUUCUAAUUCCACUUGGUGUUUAGGAUGCCCUUCAUAAGAAGAAACCCUGGGUCAAAGUUGAGGCUUAUGUUCUGGCUUUCCCAGCUUGAAAAGAAAGAAACUUGUAUACUGUCACCUUCCUAUUGAGGGUGCAAACUUCAUGAGUUGUGAUCCUAUCACCUGGCCCUUGAAAGAAGUCCUCUGGAAGAGCUGAGGCACAGAGAUGAUUCCCAGUGAAGCACUCAGGAAGCUGAGACAGAAGGAUAGCUACAAGUUUGAGGCCUGCCUGGUAUACACAGUGAAUGCAGUGUCUCCAAACAAACAGAGGAGGAAAUAGCUUAUACCAGAUAGUUAUUUGCCACUUGAACUGGAGGGGAGGAGAGUUUGCGUCUAUAACCACCGUGAAUGUGCCCAAUCUUGUCUGAUCUCGGAAGUACGCAGGACUGGGCCUGGCCAAUUGUUCUUUAAAACUGAGAUGAUUUCUUUAAGUUUGUGUUGGGCAAAAUGGGUGAACUACCCAGCAAUUAUCAGGAAACAAACACCACAAACCCUAAGCCUCAUCCGGCACUGAGCACUUUAUUUUCUGCUCAUUGGCCUGUUGUCAGUUACAGUGGCUUAGCCUUCCCCAGACUCCAUUCAGUCUUUUCUCCUGUCCGCCGUGCCUCCCAACCAUCCCUGUGGUUUUCUAAGUCAUGAUGACUUUUCCUGGAAUUGCCACCC
ensembl:lncRNA